AUUGCUUUGAACCUAAUAAAUUAGAUUAUAUUUUUUAUUUAAUUAUUAAAGAUAUGAUUUUUUUUUUUUUGAAGUAUGAAUGAAUGGUUUCCAUGUUGAUACUAAGGGCGAAUGAAACAAAGAGUUUCUAAUAAUAUUUGAAAAUGCCCAAGGCCAUAAGAAAGUCUUAAAGACUAUACCUGCCAUUAUGAUAGAGGCUAAUGCCACGGUAAACAAAGAGUUUACUGAGAGGUUCACUCUUUGGCACGACCGGCUUGGCCAUCCCGGUUCAAAUAUGAUGCGAAAAUUGAUAUUAA
rnacentral:lncRNA from 1 species